UCUACAACUUAUUAAAUUAAAACAGUACAAGUAAUAGUGCUUUAAAAGGUUGUGAUAACCAGCAAGAAACCACAAAUCUUAGAUAUAUAUGGAAAAUUAAGGUGUCUGAAGUAAAGGAAGCUUUAAAGAAGAUGAAAAUAGGCAAAACAGUAGAUCCAGAUGGAGAAGCAUUGUGGUUCCGAUUUAUAUAAAA